UAUGUUUUCAUUAGUGUAUAAUCACCUGAAACUACGAAUCGUUGUGUUUUCGUUAGCGUAGAAUGAGACCUUCAUAUCUACAUAGGGAGUGGAUCCUUUUCACAGAGUCCGCUAUGUUGCACCGCCAUGUUUCUACAGUA